ACAGUCACACAUUAGAUACCCGGGUAGUCCUAGCCGUAAACGAUACUCGCUAGGUGUCGGCCACGGUGCGACCGUUGUCGGUGCCGUAGGGAAGCCGUGAAGCGAGCCACCUGGGAAGUACGGCCGCAAGGCUGAAACUUAAAGGAAAUUGGCGGGGAGCACAACAACGGGUGGAGCUUGCGGUUUAAUUGGAUUCAACGCCGGAAAUCUUACCGGGACCGACAGCAACAUGAAGGCCAAGCUGAAGACUUUGCCGGAUUAGCUG
rnacentral:rRNA from 1 species